rnacentral:rRNA from 1 species
AUGAACGCUAGCUACAGGCUUAACACAUGCAAGUCGAGGGGCAGCAUGAACUUAGCUUGCUAAGUUUGAUGGCGACCGGCGCACGGGUGAGUAACACGUAUCCAACCUGCCGAUGACUCGGGGAUAGCCUUUCGAAAGAAAGAUUAAUACCCGAUGGCAUAGUUCUUCCGCAUGGUAGAACUAUUAAAGAAUUUCGGUCAUCGAUGGGGAUGCGUUCCAUUAGGUUGUUGGCGGGGUAACGGCCCACCAAGCCUUCGAUGGAUAGGGGUUCUGAGAGGAAGGUCCCCCACAUUGGAACUGAGACACGGUCCAAACUCCUACGGGAGGCAGCAGUGAGGAAUAUUGGUCAAUGGACGAGAGUCUGAACCAGCCAAGUAGCGUGAAGGAUGACUGCCCUAUGGGUUGUAAACUUCUUUUAUACGGGAAUAAAGUGAGGCACGUGUGCCUUUUUGUAUGUACCGUAUGAAUAAGGAUCGGCUAACUCCGUGCCAGCAGCCGCGGUAAUACGGAGGAUCCGAGCGUUAUCCGGAUUUAUUGGGUUUAAAGGGAGCGUAGGCGGACGCUUAAGUCAGUUGUGAAAGUUUGCGGCUCAACCGUAAAAUUGCAGUUGAUACUGGGUGUCUUGAGUACAGUAGAGGCAGGCGGAAUUCGUGGUGUAGCGGUGAAAUGCUUAGAUAUCACGAAGAACUCCGAUUGCGAAGGCAGCCUGCUGGACUGUAACUGACGCUGAUGCUCGAAAGUGUGGGUAUCAAACAGGAUUAGAUACCCUGGUAGUCCACACAGUAAACGAUGAAUACUCGCUGUUUGCGAUAUACAGUAAGCGGCCAAGCGAAAGCGUUAAGUAUUCCACCUGGGGAGUACGCCGGCAACGGUGAAACUCAAAGGAAUUGACGGGGGCCCGCACAAGCGGAGGAACAUGUGGUUUAAUUCGAUGAUACGCGAGGAACCUUACCCGGGCUUAAAUUGCAGAUGAAUUACGGUGAAAGCCGUAAGCCGCAAGGCAUCUGUGAAGGUGCUGCAUGGUUGUCGUCAGCUCGUGUCGUGAGAUGUUGGGUUAAGUCCCGCAACGAGCGCAACCCUUAUCCUUUGUUGCCAGCGGUCCGGCCGGGAACUCAAAGGAGACUGCCAGUGAUAAACUGGAGGAAGGUGGGGAUGACGUCAAAUCAGCACGGCCCUUACGUCCGGGGCUACACACGUGUUACAAUGGGGGGUACAGAAGGCAGCUACACGGCGACGUGAUGCUAAUCCCUAAAGCCUCUCUCAGUUCGGAUUGGAGUCUGCAACCCGACUCCAUGAAGCUGGAUUCGCUAGUAAUCGCGCAUCAGCCACGGCGCGGUGAAUACGUUCCCGGGCCUUGUACACACCGCCCGUCACACCAUGGGAGCCGGUAAUACCCGAAGUCAGUAGUUUAACCGUAAGGAGAACGCUGCCGAAGGUAGGAUUGGCGACUGGGGUG